rnacentral:tRNA from 1 species
GGGAAGGUGGCUCAAUGGUAGAGCACUUGCCUGGCAUGCAUGAGGCCCUGGGUUCGAUUCCUCAGCUCCA